rnacentral:rRNA from 1 species
CCUACGGGAUGCUGCAGUGAGGAAUAUUGGUCCAUGGACGCAAGUCUGAACCAGCCAUUCCGCGUGCAGGAAGACGGCUCUAUGAGUUGUAAACUGCUUUUGUACGAGGGUAAACGCAGAUACGCGUAUCUGUCUGCAAGUAUCGUAUGAAUAAGGAUCGGCUAACUCCGUGCCAGCAGCCGCGGUAAUACGGAGGAUUCAAGCGUUAUCCGGAUUUAUUGGGUUUAAAGGGUGCGUAGGCGGUCGGAUAAGUUAGAGGUGAAAUCCCGAGGCUCAACUUCGGAAUUGCCUCUGAUACUGUUCGGCUAGAGAGUAGUUGCGGUAGGCGGAAUGUAUGGUGUAGCGGUGAAAUGCUUAGAGAUCAUACAGAACACCGAUUGCGAAGGCAGCUUACCAAGCUACUUCUGACGUUGAGGCACGAAAGCGUGGGGAGCAAACAGGAUUAGAUACCCGGGUAGUC